rnacentral:rRNA from 1 species
UACGGGAGUGGCAAGCGUUAUCCGGAAUUAUUGGGCGUAAAGCGUCCGCAGGCGGCUUUUCAAGUCUGCUGUUAAAGCGUGGAGCUUAACUCCAUCAUGGCAGUGGAAACUGAAAGGCUUGAGUAUGGUAGGGGCAGAGGGAAUUCCCGGUGUAGCGGUGAAAUGCGUAGAUAUCGGGAAGAACACCAGUGGCGAAGGCGCUCUGCUGGGCCAUUACUGACGCUCAUGGACGAAAGCCAGGGGAGCGAAAGGG